UACAGAGGUCUCAAGCGUUGUUCGGAUUCAUUGGGCGUAAAGGGUGCGUAGGCGGCGCGUUAAGUCGGGUGUGAAAUCUCGGAGCUUAACUCCGAAACUGCAUUCGAUACUGCCGUGCUUGAGGACUGGAGAGGAGACUGGAAUUUACGGUGUAGCGGUGAAAUGCGUAGAUAUCGUAAGGAAGACCAGUGGCGAAGGCGGGUCUCUGGACAGUUCCUGACGCUGAGGCACGAAGGCCAGGGGAGCAAACGGG
rnacentral:rRNA from 1 species